UGUGUUGCAAGAAGGAAAUGGCUUUUUACCCUUAACAAUUUGGGUAGAUAAGGAUCACUUGCCAGAGAACCUGCCUUUCUGAAUAGUGAUGUAAAGUCAGCAGGGCUGGUGACAAGGGCUUGCCUUUCCUAGGCAGGAUUCAUCCCAGGAGAGAGUGGUGCACAGCAGUCAACAGCUCUGGCAGUGCUGCAGCUGAAUAAGCAUGAGCCUGGGGUGCUUCCUAACCUACAGAAACUCUUACAAAGCUGAAUUCUAGAUAAGAUUGAAUUCUGCCUCUUUUUGCACUGGGAAGCCAAGCAACCAUGCAACUUGCAGGACUUGGGAUCCUUUUCUUCUCAUGCCUGAAGCCAGCCUCAAACAUACAACAAAGUCCAUUCAGGAGCUAAUAUCAAAGGAGCAAGGUUUUUUCAGCUAUGGUAGAUGCACACCUUAUACCUACAUCCUAUAGAUGAUGGCACAUUGAAUAAGAUGAAUGUCUAACUGGUCAGAUCCUUUCCUGAUGAACGGUGGUGUAUCUGGGGAGCAGCAUGACGCAGAACACUUUAAAAAGAUUUGUCAACUUCCAGAAAGAUUUUGUCAAACGACACAACUGAUGAAGACUUCAAACUCACCAAACAGUACUGCCCCAAGGAACAGAAGACAAGAGUGGGUGCAUGGAGCAGCCCAGCACCUCAGCAGAGGGAAAUCUCCUGGGAUUUGGCACAUCGAGGUGGGAAAAUGCAGAGCCAACAGACUCACUCCUAGAGAAAAGCCAUCCUAGCUCAUCUGUCAGGAUUCCCCCUCUGGGAAAGAAGAUCAGAGCAAAUGGGGAAUGAGGAGAAUAAAAGCUGUCCCAGACCUUUGACCUCAACUUAACGUAAAGCCAAAUGAAACCCUAGAGAUCUUCUCCAAAGUUCUCUCCAGUGUCACACCCAGAGGGUGCAUUAAAGCCCACAGCACUGGUGACAGCAGCGACUCACUGGGCCAGUUGCUGUCCCAUGAAGGAGAUUAAUACCAAUGGGACUAUUUCCCCUAAACAAGGAGAAUCUGCGUGAUGAGAAGAGCAAAAGAAGUUGUAUGUCCACAGAACUUGCAGAAGUCUCAAGAAAACUCCUGAACUCAGUGUGAGUUGGAACCCAGGUCCUAGCAUCUUGCUUCACAUCACCGCAGUGCCAUCAUUGCCUGUCUUCUGAAACAUGGAUUUUCACUCUGUCCAUGCUGGUUGACACCAGCAAAUCAUUCCAGGCAGGAGUCCUAGGCUGUUUUUUGAACACCACACCAACCAGCCGCUUGCAGCAUCUUGACAGCACUACCACCCUGCAAUAAACUUACAGAAUUUGGUUUUUCAGUGAAAGUUGGCUGUAAGGGAAGAGGGGGAGAGGAAAGCACAAGAAAAAACCCAAACUUCCCUUCCAAGCACCAUCCCAGCCAUACGCAUGGACUUGCACAGCUGUUCCCAAGCGCGGUAUCGGAGCACCGCACGUAAGGAGCACUUCUGCAGGACCACACAAGUUUGCUGCUAUUCUUAAGCUGAGCCUCGCAAUUGGGAAACUCCUGCCAAGUCGUUUGAGACAGUGGCACCUGGGAAGUAUUAUAUGAGUCUGUAUUGCAUCAUGAGAACCCUAUUUGCACUUAAUUACACAACUCCCUCUCUCCUCCCAGUAGAACGAGCGGGACAGAUGCUACAUCUACAAAGUGAGAAUCAAACACAUUUUUUAAGUGGAGUCUGACAGCCUGAAGCCUAGAGGCAGGCUUCAGACCAGAUCCCAGCAGUGAAGAUCCUCACAGUACUGAAUGGCUCAGGCCAAUGAGUUUUUGUGCAUGGAUCCUACAUACCUUACUAUGGGCCUGUUUCAUGCUCCUGCCUCCUUAUGCAGAAAUUUAGUUGAGGUUUUGACUACCAUCCUCUUCCUUGGUCUUUCUCUGUGAGCCUUUUGCAGCCAGAAGCCUGGAUAUUAUCUUCACAAGGCUCCUGCCACAUCUUUUCUAUGGUGCUGGUCACAGUAUGUUAAGUAUGUACACAGUAUGUAAAGAAGCCUUGCAAGGCUUCUUUAUCCAAACCUGUGGAUUGCACUGGUGCCUCUGGAUUUGAGUCAGGUUAACAGACAUCAGUUGGGCUAACCAAUGAAGAUUCUCUGACAAGGAUGAGCAAUGGAGAGGCAGGAAAACCCCAAACUGGCUUUGUUAAGCCAAGAUAAAUAACAGCAGCACCACCACAUCAUGUUUGACAGGAGCAGAUCCUCUCAAAACAGGCAGCUGGCAGGUGGGCGCAGAUCCACCACUGGCUAACACCUGCCUGAAGUGGCAGACUCUAUUGCUGUUCUGCAGGCCAUCGCAGACUGUAUGGCAACAAAUGUGCAAACUGCUCUUUUUAAAGCAACUCUUUGGAAGUUCGGAUCCUCAUGUGCAUUUCUAACCUGAGCUCAUUACUUAAGCCCUUGCAAUUGUAUGUAACCGGAGGCAUUACCCUUUUAUUCUCCCUUCAUAAAUCAAAUCUCCCAUCUUUUGCCAUAUAAUCCAAGACUGGAAAUACCUUUUCUGUUUAUGUCACACCACGGUAAUGCAGUCACUGAUCUGCCACAGGCUUCAGCUGCUGUAAAUUCUUUUCCUACUGCCCUUUCCCCACCAGCUUUCUCACAGUGCUUUAUGGCUCACAGGUCUGGGCAUUGAUUCAGUAGUUUCUUUAAGGAGGGCCCAGAAGGAAUGAUGGAAAAGUAUGUUUAUCAGAUGUGAUAUAGUUGAAUGAAUACAGUAAAUGCUGUCCUACACAAACAAAAAUACAGAUCCAGCAAGGAAAGUUUUAAUGUGCCCAGCUCAAAAAUUUUGCAGAUAAUGAUUAAUGCUGUGGAUGAGAAGAGGGGUUCUCACAACCUUUGUGUUGACUGUUAAUCUGCAUGGAAACCACUUGCACAAAGUUUAAGUCAGUGCAGAUCACCAACUAUUUCUGUGCAUCUCCUCUUAUGAUGACUUUCACAAUAAAAUGGGAGAUCUUCCAUGGUUUCACUUUAA